UAUCAACUGUCCCACCAGCCUGCACAC
rnacentral:piRNA from 1 species